rnacentral:rRNA from 1 species
GAGCUUGCUCCCGGAUGUUAGCGGCGGACGGGUGAGUAACACGUGGGUAACCUGCCUGUAAGACUGGGAUAACUCCGGGAAACCGGAGCUAAUACCGGAUAGUUCCUUGAACCGCAUGGUUCAAGGAUGAAAGACGGUUUCGGCUGUCACUUACAGAUGGACCCGCGGCGCAUUAGCUAGUUGGUGAGGUAACGGCUCACCAAGGCGACGAUGCGUAGCCGACCUGAGAGGGUGAUCGGCCACACUGGGACUGAGACACGGCCCAGACUCCUACGGGAGGCAGCAGUAGGGAAUCUUCCGCAAUGGACGAAAGUCUGACGGAGCAACGCCGCGUGAGUGAUGAAGGUUUUCGGAUCGUAAAGCUCUGUUGUUAGGGAAGAACAAGUGCAAGAGUAACUGCUUGCACCUUGACGGUACCUAACCAGAAAGCCACGGCUAACUACGUGCCAGCAGCCGCGGUAAUACGUAGGUGGCAAGCGUUGUCCGGAAUUAUUGGGCGUAAAGGGCUCGCAGGCGGUUUUCUUAAAUCUGAUGUGAAAGCCCCCGGCUCAACCGGGGAGGGUCAUUGGAAACUGGGAAACUUGAGUGCAGAAGAGGAGAGUGGAAUUCCACGUGUAGCGGUGAAAUGCGUAGAGAUGUGGAGGAACACCAGUGGCGAAGGCGACUCUCUGGUCUGUAACUGACGCUGAGGAGCGAAAGCGUGGGGAGCG